AGAGUUUGAUCCUGGCUCAGAACGAACGCUUGCUGCAUGCUUUAUACAUGCAAGUCGAACGAAGGCCCUAGCUUGCUAGGUGUCCUUAGUGGCGCACGGGUGAGUAACACGUGGGAACAUACCUCAUAGUACGGAAUAACUGCGGGAAACUGUAGCUAAUACCGUAUAUUCCAGAAAUGGGAAAGAUUUAUCGCUAUGAGAUUGGCCCGCGCAAGAUUAGCUUGUUGGUAAGGUAAUGGCUUACCAAGGCUCCGAUCUUUAGCUGGUUUGAGAGGAUGAUCAGCCACACUGGGACUGAGACACGGCCCAGACUCCUACGGGAGGCAGCAGUAGGGAAUAUUGGACAAUGGGGGAAACCCUGAUCCAGCAAUGCAGCGUGAGUGACGAAGGCCUUAGGGUUGUAAAACUCUUUCAUCGGUGAGGAUAAUGACAGUAGCCGAAGAAGAAGGACCGGCUAAUUCCGUGCCAGCAGCCGCGGUAAUACGGAAGGUCCUAGCGUUGUUCGGAAUUACUGGGCGUAAAGCGCAUGUAGGCGGAACAAAAAGUUAGAAGUGAAAUCCCUGGGCUCAACCUAGGAAUGGCUUUUAAAACUUUUGUUCUGGAAUUCAGGAGAGGAAAAUGGAAUUUCCAGUGUAGAGGUGAAAUUCGUAGAUAUUGGAAGGAACACCAGUGGCGAAGGCGAUUUUCUGGACUGAUAUUGACGCUGAGAUGCGAAGGCAUGGGUAGCAAACGGGAUUAGAUACCCCGGGUAGUCCAUGCAGUAAACGAUGGGUGCUAGUCGUCGGACUUUUGUUCGGUGUCGUAGCUAACGCGUUAAGCACCCCGCCUGGGGAGUACGGUCGCAAGAUUAAAACUCAAUAAAUUGA
rnacentral:rRNA from 1 species